AUCCAUAGACUUAUCACCUUUAUAUUACACAAAGUUCCCACGGUUAAGGGGAAGAACUAAUGCUUACCCCUGUUCUCUUUCUUUUUCUCUUUCUUUUCUCUUUCUUUUUAUUUUCUCUUUCUCAUUCUCUUUCUUUUUCUCUUUCUUCUCUUUCUUCUCUUUCUGUGCCAGAGCCUCCAUUUUUUAACUACUUUUAAUUUUAAUCGAAAUUAAUUUUUAAUUGUUUUCCUUUUUUAAUUUUGUUCUUUUUACUAUUUGUAAUUAGAUUGAUUCAGUUUCUUGUAAUUAAAUCUUUUGUAAUUUUCCUUCCUUAUUGUAGGAAAUGAAUUAACUAUUUCCACAUGUUCUCUUAACCUUUUGUGUCACCGGUUGAUGUUGAUGAAAAUGUUACAUUGUAAACAUAAUUUUCUCAUGGUUAAAUUACGUAAAUAUGACUGUUAAUUAAUGAGACAAUUUAUUGUUAUUCUUGUUAUCCUAUUGUGAUAAUCUAUUGACGAUUGUAAUUAAUAUUAUCUGGUUGUCAAAAGAAUUGUCUUUGACUUUCAACGAAUAAUUUUUUUUUAUUGGGCCUGAUUAAAUAUCUCAAUUGUAAUUGAUAACCUACGUGGACUGGAGGCCAUUUACUUUGUAUUCACCGAUUGUCCUCAGGGAAGGUGCACCUACGAUUUUGGGCUCUGUAAAUUAAUUUACCUGUUGAACCUUUUACGAUUACCUUGUUGUUUAUCCACCGUUGGAAUAACGUUUACAAUUGAUAUAAUCAUCUCAAGGUUUACAGUUUGGGUUCAAGUGGAUUUACAAGGUUUAUGUCAUCAGCUUAUUAUUAUAUCAUCUUGGAGCUUUGAUUUUCUUUCUAUGGAUAAUAUUGGUUACCUUUGGAGGGAAAGUAUUGAUGUGUAGUUACUUGUUUACUUUCAACGUUGUAAAGAUUAUGUUUCAUUCAACAGGCUGGACUCAUGAUUAUUUGUUAAUGGCCACAGGGUGAUCAACUUUUUCACUCUCUCCAUCCUAUUACUUAAUAUUUAGAUUCUGGUAUUGAAGAUUCAUCUAAUGUGACGACAAGGAGAACAUGAUAGAGGUUGAAGACAAGAAGAAGAAUCCAGAUGAGGAUGGAAACUACUGGGUGGAAAUUGAGAGAAAUCAGAUUUCAAACCUUCAAGCCAAAUUAGAUUUAAUGAGCAGAAUUAAUUUCCAACAAUUACAACUACAAUUAUUGUCUAUGUGAUGAAGCCAGAAAUUGAACAUUUGAAACUGUAAAGGGUUGAAGACAUUUAUUCAUGUUGAAGAUAAAAUUUCAUUCUCUUCAUCGGGUCAAAGGUUAAUCGUCUUGUUGGAAGAUCAAUUUACUAUUCUCCCUCUCUUUUUGCGUUUCUGUCUCUCCAACAAUUAACUCUAAUUUCUAUCACUAAUUUUAUUUUCUCUUUAUUUACAAACCUGGUUCAUGAUCGAGAUCAACAUUGGAAAUAAUUUUCUCUUUAUUUUCUUUUCUCUCUCUCUCUACAAAUAAUAAACUUAAAAUGAUCUGAAACAUUGACGUUAACAAAGAAAAACAAAUGACAAGGAUAAGGAAGAGGAACAUGGAAACAAGAAGAAAUUAAUAUGAUGACGAUGAUUAUAUAACAAUGAGAAGGUAAUUUAAUAAAGUGAGAGGGAGAGAGAAAUCAAAAUAAUCUCCUUGGUCUCCCUAAUAUUUAUCUUUCUCUCUCAAUUGGUGAUAUUUUCAUCUUCAACGUUGCAAAUAUUAUUAUCAAUGCAAUUAUCACUCCAAUGAUUAAAAUGUUAAAAGUAAAGAUUAAGAAUAUUUAAUCGUAAUGAUUUAGUGAUUAAGAGUAACAAUCAAAUCUAACUACUGUUGAUUGUUAUGCUCACUCACUCACUCAUUGAUUUUCCUCUCUCUUUCUCUCAUGAUUAAUAUGCACUCGUUAGGAAAAUAUUAGAGAUAUUUUAAUUGUUACAAUACCAAUUCCAAGUUAAUUUAAUUGUUUGGCACACUUUUCCUAUUAAUCAGUUUUAUUUCUAACCUCUCAAUCUAGUUAAUUAAUCAACUCGAUCCCUCUAAUUAUCCCAAUUAAUUAUUAUUAUACAUUAUUAGUUAAAGUCUAGUCUCAAAUUAUUUACAUUGAAACAUUUUCAUCUUGAUGAUUUUUGUUUUAUCUUCCUUUUAUUUUUUAUCUUCUUCCUUCUCUCUCUCUCUCACUCACUCAUAUUUAUCAUGAAACUGAAUCAGAUAAUGAUUAUCAUCAAUCGUCAUCAUAAUUAACAGUCAAUUGUAGUCUUGUUAUUGUUAAUUAAGUUUUUGAUACUUUGCUUCUUGUUUCGAUAUCUAUUAUUUUCUCUCCCCCUCUCAACAAUUAGUUAAUGAUUGUAAUUGUUGAUUUAUAAUAAUACUAGUUGUUCAAUUGUCAAUUGACAGUUAACAACAUGCUACAAUAAUAAGUAAUAAUAACAACAACAGGUUGACAUUUAAUUGUUUGUUUAAUUGAUUAGUAAGUUGAUAAAGUAUUUUACUUGAUCAUCUCCUUCAUAUAAUAAUAAUUAUUAAAUUAUCUUUACAAUUUAGGAAAUAAAAUUUUAACCAUUUAAAGUCAGGUAAAUAUAUUAAAGAGAGAGAGAGGAAGAGACUGAUUUUCACAAUCAAGUAAUUAAUCAAUUAGAUUAAUUAUCGUCUCUCAAUAGAAUGAGAGAAAAAUUUGGUUACGAAUGUAGAACAAUUAAUUUUGAUUCUCUGGUAAAAUUCUAACAAUUUACCGUUGAUGGUGAGAAAAUAGAAUCAUUGUGAUUCUUAAAAAUAGAAUUAGAAAAAUAACAAUUU